AAAAAGUGUAUUUCUGUAUAUUGCCACAGAACUGGUCAGUAAGCACUCAAAUUGGCUUUCUCACCUUAUUAAUGAAUGAUCAAGUGAUACGGUUUGGGUGUGUUCCCACCCAAAUCUCAUCUUGAAUUGUAGUUCCCAUAAUCCCCACGUGUUGUGGGAUGGACCUGUGGGAGGUAAAUGAAUCAUGGGGGCGGUUACCCCAUGCUGUUCUUAUGACAGUGAAUGAGUUCUCAUAAGAUCUGAUGGUUUUAUAAGGGGCUUUUCCCCCUUUGCUUGGCACUUCUCUCUCCUGCCACCAUGUGAAGAAGGACAUGUUUGCUUCGCCUUCUGCCAUGAUUGUAAGUUUUCUGAGGCCUUCCCAGCAAAAGCAGAACUCAAUGUUCUAGGUACAAUAUAAUGGAUGCAUGUAAAAUUCAUGUGCUGUCACAGUUCAUACGGAGUAUACAAGCUAGUGUAUACUUGGGUGGGAAGUCCUAAGCACAGAAUCUUUCUCAACCGCUUGAGGUAUCAUCAAAUCAUCUCAGCAUAGUGGGACAUAACUCUCCUUGCAGAAU
rnacentral:lncRNA from 1 species